GAUUCUGCCUGAACUACUCCGAACACACCCGGCCUCAUCUGAUCCAGGAGGCCAAGCAGGGCUGGGCCUACUUAGUACUUGAAUGGGUGACCCCUUGGGAAAACCAGGUGGUGCAGUCU
rnacentral:rRNA from 1 species